AUUGAACGCUGGCGGCAUGCCUUACACAUGCAAGUCGAACGGCAGCGGGGACUUCGGUCCGCCGGCGAGUGGCGAACGGGUGAGUAAUGUAUCGGAACGUACCAUUCAGUGGGGGAUAACUAUCCGAAAGGAUAGCUAAUACCGCAUAUUCUGUGAGCAGGAAAGCAGGGGAUCGCAAGACCUUGCGCUGAUUGAGCGGCCGAUAUCAGAUUAGCUAGUUGGUGAGGUAACGGCUCACCAAGGCUACGAUCUGUAGCGGGUCUGAGAGGAUGAUCCGCCACACUGGGACUGAGACACGGCCCAGACUCCUACGGGAGGCAGCAGUGGGGAAUUUUGGACAAUGGGCGCAAGCCUGAUCCAGCCAUGCCGCGUGAGUGAAGAAGGCCUUCGGGUUGUAAAGCUCUUUCGGCCGGGAAGAAAUCGCAUCAGCUAAUACCUGGUGUGGAUGACGGUACCGGAAUAAGAAGCACCGGCUAACUACGUGCCAGCAGCCGCCGCAGUAA
rnacentral:rRNA from 1 species